rnacentral:rRNA from 1 species
UACGAAGGGGGCGAGCGUUGUUCGGAAUUACUGGGCGUAAAGGGCGCGUAGGCGGCGAUCCGAGUCAGAUGUGAAAGUCCUGGGCUUAACCUGGGGACUGCAUUUGAUACUGGAUUGCUUGAAUUCGGGAGAGGAUAGCGGAAUUCCCAGUGUAGAGGUGAAAUUCGUAGAUAUUGGGAAGAACACCGGUGGCGAAGGCGGUUCUCUGGGCCUUACCUGGACGCUGAGGAGCGAAAGCGUGGGGAGCGAACAGG